UACGUAGGCAGCAAGCGUUGUUCGGAAUUACUGGGCGUAAAGAGUGUGUAGGCGGUGCCGCAAGUUUGGUGUGAAAUCUCCCGGCUUAACUGGGAGGGUGCGCCGAAAACUGCGGUGCUAGAGUGUGGGAGAGGAAAGCGGAAUUCCUGGUGUAGCGGUGAAAUGCGUAGAUAUCAGGAGGAACACCUGCGGUGUAGACGGCUUUCUGGACCACCACUGACGCUGAGACACGAAAGCGUGGGUAGCAAACAGG
rnacentral:rRNA from 1 species